AAUAUUGCACAAUGGGCGCAAGCCUGAUGCAGCCAUGCCGCGUGUGUGAAGAAGGCCUUCGGGUUGUAAAGCACUUUCAGUCAGGAGGAAAGGUUAGUAGUUAAUACCUGCUAGCUGUGACGUUACUGACAGAAGAAGCACCGGCUAACUCCGUGCCAGCAGCCGCGGUAAUACGGGGGGUGCGAGCGUUAAUCGGAAUUACUGGGCGUAAAGCGUACGCAGGCGGUUUGUUAAGCGAGAUGUGAAAGCCCCGGGCUCAACCUGGGAACUGCAUUUCGAACUGGCAAACUAGAGUGUGAUAGAGGGUGGUAGAAUUUCAGGUGUAGCGGUGAAAUGCGUAGAGAUCUGAAGGAAUACCGAUGGCGAAGGCAGCCACCUGGGUCAACACUGACGCUCAUGUACGAAAGCGUGGGGAGCAAACAGGAUUAGAUACCCUGGUAGUCCACGCCGUA
rnacentral:rRNA from 1 species